AAUCCAGUGACCAGCAGUAAUGAAUUACUACCCACUUGGCAUUACUCAGAGGGGCUCUGGCCGGCCUUUUCCAUCAACCAGCAGCUGGAUGAGCUGGAGACAACAGAGUUAGUGACCCCCGGCCCAUCUGGUAGCUGGACACAGGGGGACAGCAUCUUGCGUAUCCCACAGACAUGCUUUGAACAGUGGGUCAUCCAAACAUCCAAAGCCAAGAUUUUAGCGAAAGCGAUACAGUCCCAUCACUGUGGAAAGGCUCCGCUUGUUACUCAGAGUCCGUCAAGAGGCCUGCCCUUCAACCUAACACCUGAAUAGCGAUCUCAGUGAACAACCUUGAUAUGUUACCGAAGCACCCAGGACAACUCAUAAUAAUCUGGACUUAUGGGACGACUAAUAUAAAGACACUGCAAACCCAUCUAU